rnacentral:rRNA from 1 species
GACGGAAGGUGCAAGCGUUGCUCGGAAUUACUGGGCGUAAAGCGUGCGUAGACGGUUACAUAAGUCGGGUGUGAAAGCCCCGGGCUCAACCUGGGAAUUGCAUUCGAGACUGCGUAGCUAGGGUGCGGAAGAGGGAAGCGGAAUUUCCGGUGUAGCGGUGAAAUGCGUAGAUAUCGGAAGGAACACCAGUGGCGAAAGCGGCUUCCUGGUCCAGCACCGACGUUCAGGCACGAAAGCGUGGGGAGCAAACAGG